AGUGAACGCUGGCGGUAGGCCUAACACAUGCAAGUCGAACGGCAGCACAGUAAGAGCUUGCUCUUACGGGUGGCGAGUGGCGGACGGGUGAGGAAUACAUCGGAAUCUACUUUUUCGUGGGGGAUAACGUAGGGAAACUUACGCUAAUACCGCAUACGACCUACGGGUGAAAGCAGGGGAUCUUCGGACCUUGCGCGAUUGCAUGAGCCGAUGUCGGAUUAGCUAGUUGGCGGGGUAAAGGCCCACCAAGGCGACGAUCCGUAGCUGGUCUGAGAGGAUGAUCAGCCACACUGGAACUGAGACACGGUCCAGACUCCUACGGGAGGCAGCAGUGGGGAAUAUUGGACAAUGGGCGCAAGCCUGAUCCAGCCAUACCGCGUGGGUGAAGAAGGCCUUCGGGUUGUACAGCCCUUUUGUUGGGAAAGAAAAGCAGCAGGUUAAUACCCCGCUGUUCUGACGGUACCCAAAGAAUAAGCACCGGCUAACUUCGUG
rnacentral:rRNA from 1 species